GCUAGUUUGUGUGUUAGUACCACAAAAUUAACAGUAUUUAUAGUGUGCCCAUUUCGCUUAGUAUUCUUAUUCUAAUUCUUUGAAGGUAUGCUGAGGUUUCAAUUAACUGUUUCUAAUUAAAGAAGCCUGUUUACAUAUACAAACAUGACAUAUGUAUUUAUGUAGUUUGUAAAUUUAAAAACAAAUAACAAUUGUUUGUCUAAAAGGCACAAUUGGUCAUUUUGGUUUUAGAAAGUAUGGACUCGUUUACAAUCGACAGCGAAGAGGCUGUUCGGAUUAUGUGCUUACAAGAACUAAUUGAAAAAAAUAUAGAGAUUGGUAAGUAGACAUUGAAUGUUGAAUGUAAUUAUGUUUGUUUAAUUAAUGAACUCAAUUUGUUUAAUCAGAGCAACAGAUUGAAAAUAAAAAUUUCGACGCUUCAAUAUUGGCUAUAGAAACUAUUAUUAGGCAAUCAAACGAAAUAGCAAAGGGACAAGAAGAACGUCGUACAAAUCCCACAGAGCUUGUACUAGACACUGAGUUGCUAAGGCGCAAUCAUGAAGUGGUUGGAAAGGCUAUACAAUAUAACACAAACUUUACAGAUCAAAUGAUCCUCACAGCUAUUGUAAGUAGAAAAGCAUUCCCAAUUAUAUGAUAGACACAAAAUAACCUGUAAUUUGUAUAAGACUAAUAUAGUUUUCAAAGACAACGAUGAAAAUUGGGACUCUCUUUGCACUGAAGUUAUUAAAUAUGGAAUGCCGCUCUACACGAAUGACAGCAUGAUAGCUUUCAUAGAUGUGGCACCGAAACUUCACAUUCAAAAGAAAUGUGCUCAACGCAAAAGAAAAACUUUGGUAAGUGCAUACAUAUGUAUAUAUUUACGUAUGUACAUAUGUAAUUUUGUACGUCAAAGUAGUAUAUACAAUUUGUCAGGAGUUUAAGUCUGAUCAAUACCUAAAUCGGGCCAUUAUCUAAUUUGUACUUAUGUAGAUAUUUAGAUGUAUUUGGCCUAACAAAGUAAUCUUUAAUUUUUGCAGGUUGAAGAGAAGCGACCAAAAAGAAGUGACAAGCUGCUGCGCAAGGAAGAGGGCUCAGCAUCGGUCAGCAAUACGUUGAAACAAAUCAGACAAAUUUACAGAUCUGGUAACGACCAGCCCAUACCGUAUUUCAAAUUAAUUUGUCACCCUACAAAUUUUAUGGACUCUGUUCAGAAUUCAUUGAAUGUUUCAUUCCUUGUUCAAGAAAAUAUGGUUCAUAUUGAGCCAGGAAAUGAUAAUUUACCACAGAUUCGGUGCGCUGCAAACCCCAGAACAUUAUCUACAAACGGGUCUUCUGCUCAGGCAAUUUGUACCAUUGAUGUCGACUUCUGUCAGGUAUGGUAGCAAAAAAUGCUAACGAAGUUUUAAUAUUAAUUUUAAUUAUUUCACAGAAAAUGGUUAAGCAUUACAACAUACAAGAACCAAUGCUGAAAAGACUGGAAAAACACGAUAGUUUGUCAUAACAAAUCAACACACAUAGAUCUCAUUUCAAAAACAAAAUAUGUUUUUUUUUUUUACAUCAGAAUUAAAUUGGAAAUUAAAGAUUAAUAAUAUUAACACAACUCAACAAAACGAAACUUUUUAUUUAUACAUAAUUAGAUGAACGAUUUUGG
rnacentral:lncRNA from 1 species